rnacentral:rRNA from 1 species
AGGGUUCGAUUCUGGCUCAGGACGAACGCUGGCGGCGUGCUUAACACAUGCAAGUCGAACGGAACACCCUUGACAGAGGUUUCGGCCAAUGAAGAGGAAUGUUAGUGGCGGACUGGUGAGUAACGCGUGAGGAACCUGCCUUUCAGAGGGGGACAACAGUUGGAAACGACUGCUAAUACCGCAUGAAGCAGCGAGGGGACAUCCCCUUGCUGUCAAAGAUUUAUCGCUGAAAGAUGGCCUCGCGUCUGAUUAGCUAGUUGGUGGGGUAACGGCCCACCAAGGCGACGAUCAGUAGCCGGACUGAGAGGUUGACCGGCCACAUUGGGACUGAGAUACGGCCCAGACUCCUACGGGAGGCAGCAGUGGGGAAUAUUGGGCAAUGGACGCAAAGUCUGACCCAGCAACGCCGCGUGAAGGAAGAAGGCUUUCGGGUUGUAAACUUCUUUUAACAGGGAAGAGAAGAAGACGGUACCUGUUGAAUAAGCCACGGCUAACUACGUGCCAGCAGCUGC